rnacentral:lncRNA from 10 species
CCCGGGCCCGCUCUGCCCACGCGGAACUUGGGGGGCGCACGGGGCCCACGCGCAGGGUCAGACCUCGGAGGGGCGGCCUGGAGCCUCGCCCGCUGCCGAACUGGGCUCCGAACUGCGGCCCGUCGACCCUUCCCGUUCGGAGGCUUGGCCUCCGAACCCACCCCGACCCCGACCUCGACCUCGCGGGAGGGGUGCCAGGCCGCAUCUCCCCGCGUCCUCAGGGGCUGGAAACCCCAGAAACUGCCGAUAGACUUGGCGCAGCCCCGGCCCUGCAGGAGGAGAGUCAGCCCGGCCUGGAGGCGAAAGGAGCCGGCAGGUCCUCCCAAGGCACUCCCUCCCUCCCCUGGAGCCCAGGCCAGGCCCAUGUCCGGCUGGCAGGUGCUCCUCUGGGAGCUGGGAGCUGGGAGCUGGGAGCUAGGGGCGCACCUUCUCCUGCAGGACCGGCGCAGGAAGCGUGCGCGGAAAAGACAGCAAAACACGCGCAGGUGCGAGGAAGCAGCCUGGUCCUGCAGCCCAGAGACAUCGUGGUCUUCGUCGCUGUCUUGUUAAAAAGAAAAAGCCUGCUGUUUAGCCGUGACUCACCUGCACACAGAUUUAGUGGUCAGAGAUCUUUCUCUGGAUUCUCAGCCUCCUGAUGGUGGAAGAGGAGGAGGUUGGGGGAGUCCCAGAAUGAGGCCCCGCGUUCCUCCUGACCUACACCCCCAGUCAGGGAUCUGGAUCUGGAGCUUCCAGGGGACCUGGAGCAGCCUGGGACCCACACAGUUUGUUAGGAAGUGAGGGAGAGGGGUGAGCGCUGUCCCGGCCCGCGCUGGGAGGCGGGACUCAGACUUCAGCACGGGGUCGGGGUUUCGGCCUAAAACCAGCCUCCCCCAAAGCCCCGGAGGAUUUAGCAACUGUCUUCAAAUGCUGGCAACUGGAAGAGAAAUACUUCCACAACGACGCAAAAGCAUUCAGUCUGGUCGUUUCCUCAGGAGAGAUUUUCAAGUGGAGGGGGCAGGAGGGUUCUGAGACUUUGAGGCUGAAGGUCUGACAUUGCAGUUCACCAAGGAGCCAUGUCUCCCAGGCAGAAUGGAGAUCCAUCUUUCCUGGCCCUGCCUCUCCACCUUCUCCGAGCCAGCAUUCUAGUUGUCUCCAGGAAUGAUCUCCCUGACCAUCCAGGGCUCAAACCCUGAACCUAGGAAUUGUCCCAGAUGCUUUGCACCCCCAUGUACCUGAUCUGUUGACACAUCCUGUCACGCUGUCCCCCAAACUUCCUUGUUCUCUGCAUGUCCGUUCUUCACCUCGCCCAAGCUGCCCUGAGGCUCCCCAGGCUGCAGUGGCUGUUUCAGUCCACACCAUGGAGAGAUGGGUUCUUUAGCCCUGCGUUGGUCAUGCCACAUCCCUCACUUGAAGUCCUGCAGUGCUUCCCAUGUGAUAUGGUUUGGCUGUGUCCGCACCCAAAUCUCACCUUGAAUGUUAAAAUCCCCAUGUGUCAAGGCCAGGACGAGGUGGAGAGAAUUGAAUCACAGGGGCGGUUCCCCCUUACUGUUCUCAUGAUAGUGAAUAAGUCUCAUGAGAUAUGAUGGUUUUAUAAAAGGCAGUUCCCCUGCACAAGCUGUCUUGCCUACCGCCAUGUAAGACUUGCCUUUGCUUCUCCUUUGCCUUCCGUCAUGACUGUGAGGCCUCCCCAGCCAUGUGUAACUGUGAGUUCAUGAGUCCAUUAAAGCUCCUUCCUUUAUAAAUUGCCCAGUCUUGGUGAUGUUUUUAUUAGCAGCAUGAGAACAGACUAAUACACCAUGGCCUUUAGAAGAAAAUCUAUACACCUUCC